rnacentral:rRNA from 1 species
GAUGAACGCUGGCGGCGUGCCUAAUACAUGCAAGUCGAGCGGACAGACGAGGAGCUUGCUCCUCUGACGUUAGCGGCGGACGGGUGAGUAACACGUGGAUAACCUACCUAUAAGACUGGGAUAACUUCGGGAAACCGGAGCUAAUACCGGAUAAUAUAUUGAACCGCAUGGUUCAAUAGUGAAAGACGGUUUUGCUGUCACUUAUAGAUGGAUCCGCGCCGCAUUAGCUAGUUGGUAAGGUAACGGCUUACCAAGGCAACGAUGCGUAGCCGACCUGAGAGGGUGAUCGGCCACACUGGAACUGAGACACGGUCCAGACUCCUACGGGAGGCAGCAGUAGGGAAUCUUCCGCAAUGGGCGAAAGCCUGACGGAGCAACGCCGCGUGAGUGAUGAAGGUCUUCGGAUCGUAAAACUCUGUUAUUAGGGAAGAACAAAUGUGUAAGUAACUAUGCACGUCUUGACGGCACCUAAUCAGAAAGCCACGGCUAACUACGU